ensembl:lncRNA
CUCCUGUCUGGUCGGUCUGGUCUCCUGUCUGGUCUCCUGUCUGAUCUCCUGUCUGAUCUCCUGUCUGGUCUCCUGUCUGGUCUCCUGUCUGGUUUCAUGUCUGGUGUCAUGUCUGGUCGGUCUGGUCUCCUGUCUGGUCUCCUGUCUGAUCUCCUGUCUGGUCUCCUGUCUGGUCUCCUGUCUGGUGUCAUGUCUGGUGUCAUGUCUGGUCGGUCUGGUCUCCUGUCUGAUCUCCUGUCUGAUCUCCUGUCUGAUCUCCUGUCUGGUCUCCUGUCUGGUCUCCUGUCUGGUUGGUCUGCUCUCCUGUCUGGUCUCUUGUCUGGUCUCCUGUCUGGUUGGUCUGGUCUUCUGUCUGGUCUCCUGUCUGGUCUCCUGUCUGGUAGGUCUGGUCUACUGUCUGGUCUCCUGUCUGAUUUCCUGUCUGGUUGGUCUGGUCUCCUGUCUGGUCUCUUGUCUGGUCUCCUGUCUGGUCUCCUGUCUGAU